UACGGAGGAUGCGAGCGUUAUCCGGAUUUAUUGGGUUUAAAGGGUGCGUAGGCGGCGUUUUAAGCGUGAGGUGAAAUGCUCCGGCUUAACCGGAGAGCUGCCUCGCGAACUGGAGUGCUGGAAUACCCCUGCCGUGGGAGGAAUGUGUGGUGUAGCGGUGAAAUGCAUAGAGAUCACACAGAACACCGAUUGCGAAGGCAUCUCACGAAGGGGCGAUUGACGCUGAGGCACGAAAGCGUGGGGAUCAAAC
rnacentral:rRNA from 1 species